rnacentral:ncRNA from 2 species
UUCUUAUCCAGAGAGACGGAGGGACAGGCCCGAAGAAGUCUCGGCAGCGGAUUUAAUUAAACACCGUGCCAAUUCCUGCAAAUGCUUGUGCAUUUGAAAGAUGAGAA